CCGUACUAGACGGGGAGCCAGCGGUGCCCUAUAUCCGCAAUCCGCUAUAGCGGAGUUGAAUUCCUCCCCUCGGCUAGGCCAGAGGUCCCAUAUCGCGGGCGAUGAUAUAGAGGGUUGGGUCCUGCGCGACGUAGACUUGUGAACCCCGCCAGAUCCGGAAGGAAGCAACGGUAAACA
rnacentral:SRP_RNA from 1 species